AUCUUCUAGCCCAAAGGUCCA
rnacentral:misc_RNA from 1 species